CAGGGAAUAUGGAACUAUUGAUGAUGUAGAUAUUGAUCUGCAUAUUGAUGUUAGCUUUCUUGAUGAAGAGAUUGCUGUGGCUUGGGAUGUAAUUCGCACAGAGCCUAUAAUAGUGCGAUUGCACUGUUCACUUACACAGUACUUAAAUGGUCCAGUGCCAACUGUGGAUGUAUUUCAGAUCUCUACUAAGGAAAGAUUUGGGCUGGGACAUCAGCUAAAAAAAAUCAUGCAGACAUUUGUUACACAACAGUGGAAGAACAGCAAAGAAAAAUCUAAUUGUACACACAAUAAGAAGGAGUCUGACAAAAAGGUGAAAUCCCCUCUGCACAUCUUUUCUACAUUGCGCAGGU